GGAGAAGUAUCGAAGUGGUCAUAACGAGCCGCACUCGAAAUGCGGUGUACCAUAUGGUACCGUGGGUUCGAAUCCCACCUUCUCCGCCA
rnacentral:tRNA from 1 species